rnacentral:rRNA from 1 species
GAUGAACGCUGGCGGCGUGCUUAACACAUGCAAGUCGAGCGAGUGAGUUCUUCGGAACGAUCUAGCGGCGGACGGGUGAGUAACACGUGGGCAACCUGCCUCAUAGAGGGGAAUAGCCUCCCGAAAGGGAGAUUAAUACCGCAUAAAAUUAUCGAGUGGCAUCACACGAUAAUCAAAGGAGCAAUCCGCUAUGAGAUGGGCCCGCGGCGCAUUAGCUAGUUGGUGAGGUAACGGCUCACCAAGGCGACGAUGCGUAGCCGACCUGAGAGGGUGAUCGGCCACAUUGGGACUGAGACACGGCCCAGACUCCUACGGGAGGCAGCAGUGGGGAAUAUUGCACAAUGGGGGAAACCCUGAUGCAGCAACGCCGCGUGAGUGAUGAAGGUCUUCGGAUUGUAAAGCUCUGUCUUUGGGGACGAUAAUGACGGUACCCAAGGAGGAAGCCACGGCUAACUACGUGCCAGCCGCCGCAGUAACAC